rnacentral:rRNA from 1 species
AACGAACGCUGGCGGCAGGCUUAACACAUGCAAGUCGAGCGCCCCGCAAGGGGAGCGGCAGACGGGUGAGUAACGCGUGGGAAUCUACCCAUCUCUACGGAAUAACGCAUGGAAACGUGUGCUAAUACCGUAUACGUCCUUCGGGAGAAAGAUUUAUCGGAGAUGGAUGAGCCCGCGUUGGAUUAGCUAGUUGGUGGGGUAAAGGCCUACCAAGGCGACGAUCCAUAGCUGGUCUGAGAGGAUGAUCAGCCACACUGGGACUGAGAAACGGCCCAGAGUCCUUCGGGAUGCAGCAAUGGGGAAGAUUGGACAAAGGGCGGAAGCCUGAUCCCGCCAUGCCGCGUGAGUGAUGAAGGCCCUAGGGUUGUAAAGCUCUUUCACCGGUGAAGAUAAUGACGGUAACCGGAGAAGAAGCCCCGGCUAACUUCGUGCCAGCCGCCGCAGUAAAAC